CUGAAGUCUUCCGAGGGCGACUCUGCUUUAUGAAGACAGUUUGAGUAUUUGUGAGGAUAAUGAAGACAUCAGUCUCCUGGCAUCAGCAUCACAGGCGCUCUACAGGCGCUCAGGUGCGUGUUUGUCUGAAUCACCCGGAGCUGCUGUGUCCCUGUGUAGGGUGAGUGACACACAUCAGUCAGACAAUACUUCAUCAAUCUGUUAGUAUGUGAUUUCGACUUGAUUUGAUUUCCACUGAUAUAGUCAGCUUGAUUUAGUCAUAUCUAUCUAUCUAUCUAUCUAUCUAUCUAUCUAUCUAUCUAUCUAUCUAUCUAUCUAUCUAUCUAUCUAUCUAUCUAUCUAUCUAUCUAUCUAUCUAUCUAUCUAUCUAUCAUCUGUUUAUGUGCAGGUAUUUGACAUGUUGUUUAGUGUUGUGUGAGACAGUGACCCUCUGGGUUCAUGAAUGUGUUCAUUUAGUGGAGGAGACAGACGCCCCCUCUCUGCGCUCGCUCCUGUUACACCCUCUCCUUCAGUUCUGCCCUGUCACACGUUCAGCUCCGAAACAUUGUGCAUCUAAAGGAUUGUUGGAGGGGCUUUUCUCUGAACAUUCAUUGCCAGCAGUGCUUUAUAACUUACAAUUUUAAUGCAUGUAAAAUUGUGAAUUGAAAAUGCAUAAUGCAAGCAAAUCCAUGUAAAAAUGAGUAAUGAUAAUGAUAUAUAUAAAGCAAACAAAAUAUGCAUUAAAAAAGGUCUAAAAUUAAUUGCAUCUUUAUUGUUUCAUAGCAUGAAUUGAUUUGAAGUUAAAUGUGUAAGAAAAAAACAAAAAAAACAAUGCACUGUAAAAAAGUAAAAAAAAAAAUUGUGCACUAUAAAAAAAGAACUAAUUUUUGGAUCAGGUUUUACAAGAAAAUACUAUUUCGGUCUUUCUAUUUUAAAAUCUCACUUUUAAUGUGAUGCAUUGUUUGCCAUUUCUCAUUUGUGAAAUUUACUUGCAAGUUCUGAGUGAAAAUUGUUUCUACAUCAUUUAUUUAUUCAUUUAUAUAUAUAUAUUUUCCUUCUUCAGUAUGCAUGUCAUUUUCCUGUAUGAACUGCUGGGGUCCCUGUCCUGUGUUGCUAGUUAAUUUUGGUAGUCAUUAUAAAGCACACUUCGCCACACACAACAGUGUAUUUCAUUAUCAGAAUUAUCACAUCUUCAUGUGUGUGUGUGCAUCGCCUGUCCGACUCUUCACAGAUCCACCUCUGUGCAAAUACAGCAUGCACAUGCAUUACAUGCGGUGGUGAUUUCUCAUCUGUACUUAUUAAUUAUGCAUUUACCCAACAAACCUGUUCCAUUCACAGAUGCAUUUUAAUGUGAGUGACAGCUGUACAGGCCGAGCGUAGAGAGAGUGAUCUCAAAGUCUCUCAAACAGAUGAACUGAGCUGUUGUCUGCUGUAUACAGGAGCACGCUGGGCUACCGACUGCGCAGAUACAGAUGCCGUAUGCAUCAAAUAGCUAUUGAUUUCCACACGUAGCACUUGUUCUGUGCAGAGGAAGGACUCUGAACACUAGUGAUCUGAUUAUUAGCAGACUCUCUUCAUUUGCACACAUCGAACGAGAGACGCUCGGCGAAGAGAGAGAUGAUUCUGAGCAUCUCUCGGUAAAGAGGUCAGGUCUCCAGUGAGGAUGGAGUAGCAGUGCCACAUUUGCCACAUUUUUUACUAUUUUGAUGCUCUGGCUUUCUAAAGGCGGAGAAGAAAACGGAAAGCAUUCUCAAUUAAUUCUGACAGAGUUCACAGAGAGAGAGAGAGAGGUAAAGGUCUGUUAAAAUAGGAAACUCUGCCUCCAGAAACACAGCUUAUUGUUUCUGUGGAAUUAAUAAUUGACGGUUGUUAAAUGAAUAAUUUAUCACGAACCGGAAUAAUUGUUGUAUCUCUAAUCUUGACACACAUUUGCAUAUGAAUCUUGUAAAUCUGCUGCUAUGUGCUGUAUAAACUUUGCAGGGGUGUGAAAUUUAAUUUAUCCUCUCAAAUAAAACGUGACUUUCUCCUGCAGGAUUCGGCCCUCUUGUGGAAGUGUGUGUGUGUGUGUGUGUGUGUGUGUGUGUGUGUGUGAUUCUUCACAUUUUCCUGUUUCUAUUUUAAAAUCCGCUGUGAGGAAGAGCAAACUGUUUCAUAUUACAUAAGACAAGUUAUUCACUAUCAAAUGCAAUGUCAUAAUAUGUGAUAAAUAUACAACUUAAAAGUGCAUUAUAAAACAGGUCCUUCCGCUCCUGGAUGCUGAUUGGUCAAUUACUCAUUCAAAAAUACACAAUAAAACAACAUGGAACUGACUGGAUGCCACUUCACAUAUUUGCAUAAACAUUAAAUAAAUUUGAAUCUGAAUAAAUAUCUCUGUCCUUAAUAUUUUCAUUAAGUACUAACGGUUGUCAAUUCAAUAAAACAGUUGAGUGUUGAAUUGCGAAUAUUGGUGAAUACUCUUUCUUUUCCGUCAGGUUCAGACCGACAGCAGCGCUUCAAGACAGUCAUCUCAGAUCCUCCACAGCGUUCAGAUCGCAGCCGAGACGCAAAAAGAGCAAAUCAACAAAUAUUUAUAUUUAAAAGUGUUGUGCGAAUAAAUGCAGUCAUCACUGUGACAAUGAGCCCGACUGUCUCUCUCUCUCUCUCUCUCUUUCUCUGUCUGUCUAUCUCCCUCUCUCUCUCUCUCUCUCUCUCUCUUAACCAGGCGGGAGAGUUGGUUGUGUUUGAUCUGGGCUUGUGUUGAAGUAAAAGAGCAUCUUAUACAAUUGACGGCUACAAUUAGCUGCCGAUCAGAGCAGCGGAGGACAACACUUACUCUCGUAUUUACAUGUCGUCGCUGUCUGACAGCAGAAGCAGACAGGAGUUGUGUGCUGUUGACAGGCCUGUGGGGAAGAAGGACGUUUGUCCCCAGCGCUUCUUCAGGGUCCACGAGGAGAUCUGAGCGCUCAGCUUUCUGUGGAGUUCCUGUUUGGACACCAGCUGAAGGACACAGAUAAACUCACUGCCUUCAAACUCCAGCAAAGAAAUGAACUUCACUCCCAAAACACAGCACAAGACACGACUGGGAACACACUCAUUAGACUCAAACUUUGACUUUCUAUAACACACACACACACACACACACACACACCUCUCUGCUUUCCUUUGUCUAUGCACUGCUACAGACCGACACACAAACUAUUGAAACUAAACUGCAAAAACAUUUUAUAGAGCAUGAAAUGAUU